rnacentral:lncRNA from 1 species
AAAAAAGUAAUUUUAUAUUUUUAAAAAUCAAAAUUUUUUUUACAUCUAUAAAUACUACUACAAACAUCUAAAUUCAUCAUAACAAACAAUUCUUUAUUCAUCUAGAGAUGUCAACGGGUUGGAUUCAGGGCAGAUUUUAAAAAACCCGAACCCGAACCCGACUCCCAACUUGAGAUCCGAACCCGAACCCGAAUCCGACGGAUUUCAAAAAUCCAUAUCCAAACCCGAACCUGACCAAUUUUUCAAAACCUAAAAUCCGAACCCAAAGAUCAGAAGCCGAAAUAAUUAUUUCUCUUUACCAUAUUUCAAAAUAUUUAUAUUAAAUUUAAAAUUUUAAAACUUAAAUUUGAAUAUAAUAUUAAACUUUAUAUAUUAUUCGGGUCAGAUUCAAAAUUUAAAAAUAUAAGAGGAAAGAAGAGAGAGGAAAAGAAAACAAAAAGAGAAUAAAAAUUUUGAUAAUAUAGUAGAGAAAAAAUAACUAAAUUGCUCAUAUAUUAAAAGACANUUGAUCUAGCAUAUUUGAAGUAUCUAGAAAAUAAAUUUUGCGAUUUUUCGAUAUCGUUUACUUAGUGAUCGAAAGGGUUCAAAAUCAACGGCUGAAAAUAAAAAUCUCAUAAAAAGUGGUGAUAAAGUACUAAAAUUUUCGAUCAGAGAUAUUGAACUUGCUGUAAAUAAUAUAAAGAAUUUUCUAUCAUAAUUUCAUUUGAUUUGGAUAUUUCUACGCCGUUAAACUUGAAACAGCAGAUAUCGACCAUUAAAAAUUAUUAAUUUUGAAUUUUUUCGAUCACUAAGUAAACGAUAUCGAAAAAUCUCAAAAUAUUUUUUAUAUAUACUUCAAAUAAGCUAUAUC